rnacentral:rRNA from 1 species
GACGAACGCUGGCGGCGCGCUUAACACAUGCAAGUCGAACGGUGAAGUAGAGCUUGCUCUAUGGAUCAGUGGCGAACGGGUGAGUAACACGUGGGCAACCUGCCCCAGACUCUGGGAUAACUCCUCGAAAGAGGGGCUAAUACCGGAUAUUUGCAUUGCAAGACAUCUUGUGAUGCAGAAAGAAUUUCGGUCUGGGAUGGGCCCGCGGCCUAUCAGCUUGUUGGUGAGGUAACGGCUCACCAAGGCGACGACGGGUAGCCGGCCUGAGAGGGGGACCGGCCACACUGGGACGGAGACACGGCCCAGACUCCUACGGGAGGCAGCAGUGGGGAAUAUUGGGCAAUGGGCGAAAGCCUGACCCAGCAACGCCGCGUGAGGGAUGAAGGUCCUCGGAUUGUAAACCUCUUUCAGCAGGGACGAAGCGAAAGUGACGGUACCUGCAGAAGAAGCACCGGCUAACUACGUGCCAGCAGCCGCCGUAA